rnacentral:rRNA from 1 species
UACGUAGGGUGCGAGCGUUAAUCGGAAUUACUGGGCGUAAAGCGUGCGCAGGCGGUCUGUUAAGACCGAUGUGAAAUCCCCGGGCUCAACCCGGGAACUGCGUCCGAUACUGGCAGGCUUGAAUCCGGGAGAGGGAUGCGGAAUUCCAGGUGUAGCGGUGAAAUGCGUAGAUAUCUGGAGGAACACCGGUGGCGAAGGCGGCAUCCUGGACCGGCAUUGACGCUGAGGCGCGAAAGCCAGGGGAGCAAACGGG